UACGGAGGGGGCUAGCGUUGUUCGGAAUUACUGGGCGUAAAGGGCGCGUAGGCGGUCUUGUAAGUCUUGUGUGAAAUCCCUCGGCUCAACUGAGGAACUGCACGGGAUACUGCGAGACUUGAGUUCGGGAGAGGGAAGCGGAAUUCCGGGUGUAGCGGUGAAAUGCGUAGAUAUCCGGAGGAACACCGGUGGCGAAGGCGGCUUCCUGGACCGAUCACUGACGCUGAGGCGCGAAAGCUAGGGGAGCAAACGGG
rnacentral:rRNA from 1 species